rnacentral:sRNA from 1 species
CCUGUGAAAAGCAGGGGGAGGAUGAGAGCUAGAGGUUCGACAAAAUCGCCGGGAGUGAUUUUGAACGCCGCAAAGCGGCGGCCCGGAGGGCGGAGGGCAGGAUGACCGGAGUAAUCCUCCCCUCUCCACCA